UACGUAGGGGGCAAGCGUUGUCCGGAAUUAUUGGGCGUAAAGAGCGUGUAGGCGGUCCGGUAAGUCAGCUGUGAAAGUCAAGGGCUCAACCCUUGAAAGCCGGUUGAUACUGUCGGGCUAGAGUCCGGAAGAGGCGAGUGGAAUUCCCGGUGUAGCGGUGAAAUGCGCAGAUAUCGGGAGGAAGGCCGGUGGCGAAGGCGGCGCUCUGGAACGUUUCUGACGCUGAGGCUCGAAAGCGUGGGGAGCAAACAGG
rnacentral:rRNA from 1 species